GCAGGGUCACCUUGGCCGGGCUGGCGGCCAAGGGCUCCUUCAGACCCGACGUGCCCCAGCGGCCCAGCGGCCGCUUGGUCCCCUGAGCAGUCCUCAUCCUCGCAAACUGCUGUCUGGGGAGGGGGCUGCUGGGGGCUGGGGGUGGUUUUCGGCCCCACUGACCACUUGGGAAGCUGCCCCCUUUCCCAGCACCGGCCGGCCGAGGGAGGGCUCGCUGAGAUCCGUACGCCAAGGUCUGCUGGACGUGUUCUGUAUGCGGGUGACGCCGUGCCCGGAUAGUGAGGCUGCCGUCCUCCCGCAGAGCCGAGGUCACCGACGUCGGGUCCACGUCCUCCGGCAGCUGGCACUUGUGAGCGAAGGUGUUCAUGACAGUGCCGUCAGCCGCCAGCUGGGGAAGGGGUGACCCGUCAGGCAGGCUGCCCCGACCCCUGUCCUGCUUGUGACAAGCCAGAGCCCUCUUCUCCCCAUUCUAACCCCAGCCAGACCCCACAUGCCGAGGGGCUCUGCCCUCAGGUGCCGAGGGGCUGCCCAGGGUGGUGAUGGCCACAGGCCAAAGGCUCUGCAGGGACAGCGCAGGGGUGCUUCGCAGAGCUCCAGUAGCUCCAAGGAACAGGCCAGGGACAUGGGGAAGAGGUGGGGCUUGGAGAGAGAGGAGGCUCCGUGGCAGUGGCUCCGAAUCUGGGGCUCCUGGGGAACGUGGAGGUGACAGAGGAGAGCCGUGCCUUCCUGGAUCCCCGGGCACAUUGGGCAUCUGCCCGCCAGGGCUGAGCGCCGGCCCCUCCCCCGCAACUCAGCCAGCACAUAGUGUCCAGGGGAGUUUGGGGCGGCUGAGUCACUGUUGGGGGUGGCAGGGCUGGCACAUGCUGCCUGUGGGUUUUGGUGCCCCCAGUCCAUGGCAUCCCUGGCAGGGACGCCCAGAAAUCCACCCUUGAAUGUGGAGGGGAAGAAGCCAGUCCUUGGGGGCUUAGGAGGAGGCUUGGGUCAGGUCCUCUCCUCUCUCCUGGCAGCCGUGGCUGUCCCUGGGCAACGCCCCUGUUCAGGCCUGGCCAUACCCUCUCCAGGGUGGAGGCCCCAGUGCCUCCUAGAAGUUCGGACUCAGACACGCUAGAGACCCAGUGACCCUGAGACCUGUGGGCGGGCGCUGUGUGUGGUUUGGAGUGUGUGUGACCCGAAACUGCAGGGCCCCUGCCCAGCCUCGGGCCUAAUUUAGGGGUCCCAAGAUGGGGGAUGGGUCUCCAGCUGUGGGAGGGAAGAGGGCUUGAGGUGGGUCACAUGGAGAAACCCCUCCCCCCACUGCCCAGGUGAGUUCCCCACCUACCCGCAUCCGCCCCCCUAUAGCUACCAGAGGAGCUGUCCUCACUCUGCCAUCACCAUCUCACACCUGUCAUCUCCCACCCUCAAGCCCCACCCCCUCAGGCUCCCUCUGCCCACAUCCCUCCAUCCCUCUCCCAUUCCUCGGAGGCUCCCUCAGCUGCUCAGGCCCUGGAAGAAAGGAUCUGGGAACCUCGGUGCAAAGAGAGGCAGUGAGGGGGCCCCAUGGCCAUGGGUUGCAGGGACAAGGCCUUCAGUUAGCCCUGGGGGAGUUUGGGUGGGGAAGGGACA
rnacentral:lncRNA from 1 species